rnacentral:rRNA from 1 species
AAUGAACGUUGGCGGCGUGGAUUAGGCAUGCAAGUCGCGCGAUAAGCGUAGCAAUACGUGGAAAGCGGCGAAAGGGAGAGUAAUGCAUGGUUAGCUACCCUCGGGACUGGGAUAGCGGCGGGAAACUGCCGGUAAUACCAGAUGAUGUCUUCGGACCAAACGUGUGAAUCGGCCCGAGGAGGUGACCAUGUCCUAUCAGCUAGUUGGCGGUGUAACGGACCACCAAGGCAAAGACGGGUAUGGGGCGUGAGAGCGUGCCCCCACUCACUGGGACUGAGAACUGCCCAGACACCUACGGGUGGCUGCAGUCGAGAAUCUUCGGCAAUGGGCGCAAGCCUGACCGAGCGACGCCGCGUGCGGGAUGAAGGCCUUCGGGUUGUAAACCGCUGUCGUAGGGGAGGAAGGUCUUGCGAAGAGCAAGGCUUGACCGAUCCUAGGAGGAAGGGCCGGCUAAUCUCGUGCCAGCAGCCGCAGUAACAC